rnacentral:rRNA from 1 species
UACAGAGGGGGCAAGCGUUAUUCGGAAUUAUUGGGCGUAAAGAGCGUGUAGGCGGCCAGGUAGGUCUGCUGUGAAAACUCGAGGCUCAACCUCGAGACGUCGGCGGAAACCAUCUGGCUAGAGUCCGGAAGAGGAGAGUGGAAUUCCUGGUGUAGCGGUGAAAUGCGCAGAUAUCAGGAAGAACACCCGUGGCGAAGGCGGCUCUCUGGGACGGUACUGACGCUGAGACGCGAAAGCGUGGGGAGCGAACAGG